rnacentral:rRNA from 1 species
AACGAACGCUGGCGGCAUGCCUAACACAUGCAAGUCGAACGAGACCUUCGGGUCUAGUGGCGCACGGGUGCGUAACGCGUGGGAACCUGCCUUUAGGUUCGGAAUAACUCAGAGAAAUUUGAGCUAAUACCGGAUGAUGUCUUCGGACCAAAGAUUUAUCGCCUUUAGAUGGGCCCGCGUUGGAUUAGCUAGUUGGUGGGGUAAAGGCCUACCAAGGCGACGAUCCAUAGCUGGUCUGAGAGGAUGAUCAGCCACACUGGGACUGAGACACGGCCCAGACUCCUGCGGGAGGCAGCGGUGGGGAUUAUUGAACAAGGGCCAGAAGCAUGAUCCAGCAAUGCGUGGUGGUGGAUGAGGGCCUUGGGGUUGAAAGCCUCUUUACCCGAGAUGAUAAUGACAGUAUCGGGAGAAUAAGCUCCGGCUAACUCCGUG